rnacentral:rRNA from 1 species
UACAGGGGGUGCAAACGUUGCUCGGAAUUAUUGGGCGUAAAGCGCGCGUAGGCGGCUACCUAAGUCGGAUGUGAAAGCCCCUGGCUUAACUGGGGAAGUGCACCCGAAACUGGGUAGCUAGAGUGCAAAAGAGGGUCGCGGAAUUCCCGGUGUAGAGGUGAAAUUCGUAGAUAUCGGGAGGAACACCGGUGGCGAAGGCGGCGACCUGGGUUGACACUGACGCUGAGGAGCGAAAGCGUGGGUAGCAAACAGG